rnacentral:rRNA from 1 species
UACGUAGGGUGCAGGCGUUAAUCGGAAUUACUGGGCGUAAAGCGUGCGCAGGCGGUUUCUUAAGUCAGAUGUGAAAGCCCCGGGCUUAACCUGGGAACUGCGUUUGAAACUGGGAGACUUGAGUGUGGCAGAGGGGGGUGGAAUUCCACGUGUAGCAGUGAAAUGCGUAGAGAUCGGGAGGAACAUCAGUUGCGAAGGCGGCUCUCUGGACCAGCACUGACACUGAGGCACGAAAGCGUGGGGAGCAAACAGG